CGGGAUGUAGCGCAGCCUGGUAGCGUACUAGCAUGGGGUGCUAGGGGUCGCUGGUUCGAAUCCAGUCAUCCCGA
rfam:Flavobacterium succinicans strain DD5b FLB_contig000070, whole genome shotgun sequence.